rnacentral:rRNA from 1 species
UACGGAGGGUGCAAACGUUGCUCGGAAUUAUUGGGCGUAAAGCGUACGUAGGCGGUCGGCUAUGUCGGAUGUGAAAGCCCCGGGCUUAACCCGGGAAGGGCAUCCGAAACUGGCCGGCUUGAGUACGGAAGAGGGUCUCGGAAUUCCCGGUGUAGAGGUGAAAUUCGUAGAUAUCGGGAGGAACACCAGUGGCGAAGGCGGAGACCUGGGCCGAUACUGACGCUGAGGAGCGAAAGCGUGGGGAGCGAACAGG